ACGCACGCUGGCGGCGUGCUUCACACAUGCAAGUCGCACGGAAAGGCCCUGCUUUUGUGGGGUGCUCGAGUGGCGAACGGGUGAGUAACACGUGAGUAACCUGCCCUUGACUUUGGGAUAACUUCAGGAAACUGGGGCUAAUACCGGAUAGGAGCUCCUGCUGCAUGGUGGGGGUUGGAAAGUUUCGGCGGUUGGGGAUGGACUCGCGGCUUAUCAGCUUGUUGGUGGGGUAGUGGCUUACCAAGGCUUUGACGGGUAGCCGGCCUGAGAGGGUGACCGGCAACAUGGGGAUUGAGAGAGGGCCAAGCCGCCUGGGGGAGGAAGCAGGGGGAAAUAUGGAAAAGGGGGGGGAAGCCGGAGGCAGCAACGCCGGGGGGGGGAGGAGGGCCUGCGGGGUGUAAACCGCUUCCGCCGGGGAGGAAGGGGGAGGGAGGGUAGGGGGUAAAGAAGCACCGGCUAACUAAGGG
rnacentral:rRNA from 1 species